AGGACGAACGCUGGCGGCGUGCUUAACACAUGCAAGUCGAGCGGAAAGGCCUUUCGGGGUACUCGAGCGGCGAACGGGUGAGUAACACGUGAGUAAUCUGCCCAUCGCUUCAGGAUAGCCAUCGGAAACGGUGAUUAAUACUGGAUAUGACAUUCCUUCGCAUGUUGGGGUGUGGAAAGUUUUUUCGGCGGUGGAUGUGCUCGCGGCCUAUCAGCUUGUUGGUGGGGUAAUGGCCUACCAAGGCUUUGACGGGUAGCCGGCCUGAGAGGGUGACCGGCCACACGUGGGACUGAGACACGGCCCAGACCUCCGUACGGGAGCAGCAGUGGGGAAUAGUUGGAACAAGUGGGGA
rnacentral:rRNA from 1 species